GGCGGGGCAGUGAGCAUUCACUUUCGUUUGUUGCGUUCUAUAAAGCGCUAGUGAUUUAGGCUACAAGAACAGUUUUGCCCCCUGACUACAGUCUGUGUGCGCUGGUUUUACUAAGACUUCGCCGGAAUCUUUCUGCAAGAUGUCGCAUCCUCAAGGUGCCCAGGCAUCUCCGUCUGACGGAGCGAUUGUCAGCGCCAAAGUGGGCGGCGUUUCGAUGUCCGCUGGCCCGGCGAAGGUACAGGUGGACCUGGGGAACAACACCGGAGUGAGCGCCGGUCCCGAUGGCGUGGAUCUGCAGCUGCUAGGCACCGACAUAAAAGUCAAUCCAAAUCAAAUACUAUCCCUCUUUGGAUUUAAGUGACUGUCUCUAAGAACAUGACAUCAUGUUGGUUGCAGUCAUUCAUGAUAUUAAAUUUAAUUUGAUUAAGCUUUACAGUAACAGUGAACAUUCAUAAACAUUUCUGCACAAUGAAAGAAUAGAAACCAAAGUAAUAUUUUUGUAACCUCCAUUUAACCUCCUGCUUGUUACCGAAGUUCAUUUCAAAUGAAUAAAAAAAGAAAAUACAAACACAGUCCAGCUUUUGUAUUGUGUGAAUACGUUGCUUCUUUCUGAACCAUGUUUGCUGUUGGAGGUCUGGGCCCCAUUAUCUGACUGACUGUAAAGUACUUAGAGACAUAAGCCAUUACAUUACAUUUAUUUGGCUAAAAGCGACGUAGAAUACGUGCACACCGAAUGUCAUUUGAACAAAACACAUCUGAUAUGGUAUAUUACUGAUUACGUAACAGUUAUUCAUUCAUAGCCAUGAACGUGUUAAGCCAUAUAUAGAUAACGAUAACAAUAAAAUUAAACAUGAAAGUAAACUCUGCAUGACUACCUGAAUGUAUGUAAUUACUAAUGUAUUAAAAUGUAUACAAAUACUUUUCAAUAAAAGCUGAGAAUCCGCACUUUAA